rnacentral:rRNA from 1 species
UACGUAGGGUGCGAGCGUUAGUCGGAAUUACUGGGCGUAAAGCGUGCGCAGGCGGCUGUGCAAGACAGGUGUGAAAUCCCCGGGCUCAACCCGGGAACUGCACUUGUGACUGCACGGCUAGAGUGUGUCAGAGGGAGGUGGAAUUCCGCGUGUAGCAGUGAAAUGCGUAGAGAUGCGGAGGAACACCGAUGGCGAAGGCAGCCUCCUGGGAUAACACUGACGCUCAGGCACGAAAGCGUGGGGAGCAAACAGG